rnacentral:rRNA from 1 species
GGCGGCGUGCUUAACACAUGCAAGUCGAACGAUGAAGCCCUUCGGGGUGGAUUAGUGGCGAACGGGUGAGUAACACGUGGGCAAUCUGCCCUGCACUCUGGGACAAGCCCUGGAAACGGGGUCUAAUACCGGAUAUGACACACGACCGCAUGGUCUGUGUGUGGAAAGCUCCGGCGGUGCAGGAUGAGCCCGCGGCCUAUCAGCUUGUUGGUUAGGUAAUGGCCUACCAAGGCGACGACGGGUAGCCGGCCUGAGAGGGCGACCGGCCACACUGGGACUGAGACACGGCCCAGACUCCUACGGGAGGCAGCAGUGGGGAAUAUUGCACAAUGGGCGCAAGCCUGAUGCAGCGACGCCGCGUGAGGGAUGACGGCCUUCGGGUUGUAAACCUCUUUCAGCAGGGAAGAAGCGCAAGUGACGGUACCUGCAGAAGAAGCGCCGGCUAACUACGUGCCAGCAGCCGCGGUAAUACGUAGGGCGCAAGCGUUGUCCGGAAUUAUUGGGCGUAAAGAGCUCGUAGGCGGCUUGUCGCGUCGGAUGUGAAAGCCCGGGGCUUAACCCCGGGUCUGCAUUCGAUACGGGCAGGCUAGAGUUCGGUAGGGGAGAUCGGAAUUCCUGGUGUAGCGGUGAAAUGCGCAGAUAUCAGGAGGAACACCGGUGGCGAAGGCGGAUCUCUGGGCCGAUACUGACGCUGAGGAGCGAAAGCGUGGGGAGCGAACAGGAUUAGAUACCCUGGUAGUCCACGCCGUAAACGUUGGGAACUAGGUGUGGGCGACAUUCCACGUCGUCCGUGCCGCAGCUAACGCAUUAAGUGCCCCGCCUGGGGAGUACGGCCGC